ensembl:misc_RNA Metazoa_SRP Metazoan signal recognition particle RNA
GCUGGGCAUGGUGGCGCAUGCCUGUAGUCCCCACUACUGGGAGACAGAAGCGGGAGGAUCACUUGAGCUCAGGAGUUUGAUGCCAGCCUGGGCAACAUAGUGAGACCCUGUUUCUA